AAUUCAUUAACCUUCAUAUCUAUUUGCUCUUUUGCUUUCUUAUUAAAGAUUCUUUGUUAUGAGUAGAAGAUAAUAUUAUUAUUACAAUAAUCAGAGGGUACCACAACAUUACCCGAGCCGGGGCCUAACCACGACGGGCAUCCCGAACCAUAAAGGACUCCCCAACUAGAGUAAGACUUUCUUACACACACUGACACUGUCAGUUCUGGGCCCAGG
rnacentral:lncRNA from 1 species